UACGUAGGGUGCGAGCGUUGUCCGGAAUUAUUGGGCGUAAAGGGUGCGCAGGUGGGUUUGCAAGUUCGAUGUGAAAGCCCCGGGCUUAACCCGGGAAUGGCAUUGGAUACUGCAGAUCUGGAGGAUCGGAGGGGGGGACUGGAAUUCUUGGUGUAGCAGUGAAAUGCGUAGAUAUCAAGAGGAACACCAGUGGCGAAGGCGAGUCCCUGGACGAUACCUGACACUGAGGCACGAAAGCUAGGGGAGCAAACAGG
rnacentral:rRNA from 1 species